rnacentral:rRNA from 1 species
GGAGAUUCAUCGUCAAAUUAUUUGACAUUAAUGUGAAUUAUGAUGUAAUAUGUAGUCCUUGUGGCUAUUAUGUUAUACAUGUUUAUGUUAUUUUGUUAGAUAUGUCGGCGUGCACUUCUCCUCUAGUAGAACGUCGCAACCUGUUAAAUGUUGAUUUAUGGUCUGAUUGGUUGACUUUGAUAACUGCUUGCAGAUUUUCAGAGACCAUUGGAAUCCUAAUCAGCUGUUUGACAGUACUCUAAUAGUAUUAAGCCGCAUUUAUUUGCGUUAAUUUCGUUGCAAGUGUGGUUAAUAUAUAGUAGUGUGGAUUUAAUGCCAUCGCUGUUAUUAACUCACUGUUAGCGUACGAAAAUCUUUAACUGGCAUAAUACUGGUUAGCGAUGCUACUGCUUUGGGUACUUUCAGGACCCGUCUUGAAACACGGACCAAGGAGUCUAGCAUGUACGCAAGUCAUUGGGAAUUUAUAAAACAAACCUAAAGGCAUAAUGAAAGUAAAGAUUGUUAAUUGACAAUUAAAGGAAGAUGAGUUACGUUACGAUGUAAUUCCGCAUUCCUGGGGCA